rnacentral:rRNA from 1 species
CCUUAGAGUUUGAUCCUGGCUCAGGAUGAACGCUGGCGGCGUGCUUAACACAUGCAAGUCGAACGAAGAUACUUAAAAUGAGAGCUUCGGCAGGAUUUUUAUUUAUCUUAGUGGCGGACGGGUGAGUAACGUGUGGGCAACCUGCCCUAUACUGGGGAAUAAUCACUGGAAACGGUGACUAAUACCGCAUGUCAUUACGGAAGGGCAUCCUUCUGUAAGAAAAGGAGUGAUCCGCUUUGAGGUGGCCUCGCGUCCGAUUAGCUGGUUGGUGAGGUAACGGCCCACCAAGGCGACGAUCGGUAGCCGGACUGAGAGGUUGAACGGCCACAUUGGGACUGAGACACGGCCCAGACUCCUACGGGAGGCAGCAGUGGGGAAUAUUGCACAAUGGGGGAAACCCUGAUGCAGCGACGCCGCGUGGAGGAAGAAGGUCUUCGGAUUGUAAACUCCUGUUGUUGAGGAAGAUAAUGACGGUACUCAGCAAGGAAGUGACGGCUAACUACGUGCCAGCAGCCGCGGUAAAACGUAGGUCACAAGCGUUGUCCGGAAUUACUGGGUGUAAAGGGAGCGCAGGCGGGAGAACAAGUUGGAAGUGAAAUCCAUGGGCUCAACCCAUGAACUGCUUUCAAAACUGUUUUUCUUGAGUAGUGCAGAGGUAGGCGGAAUUCCCGGUGUAGCGGUGGAAUGCGUAGAUAUCGGGAGGAACACCAGUGGCGAAGGCGGCCUACUGGGCACCAACUGACGCUGAGGCUCGAAAGUGUGGGUAGCAAACAGGAUUAGAUACCCUGGUAGUCCACACCGUAAACGAUGAUUACUAGGUGUUGGAGGAUUGACCCCUUCAGUGCCGCAGUUAACACAAUAAGUAAUCCACCUGGGGAGUACGACCGCAAGGUUGAAACUCAAAUGAAUUGAC